rnacentral:rRNA from 1 species
GACGAACGCUGGCGGCGUGCUUAACACAUGCAAGUCGAGCGGUAAGGCCCUUUCGGGGGUACACGAGCGGCGAACGGGUGAGUAACACGUGGGUGACCUGCCCUCAGCUCUGGGAUAAGCCUGGGAAACCGGGUCUAAUACUGGAUAUGACUCCAUGACGCAUGUUGUGGGGUGGAAAGCCUUGUGCGGCUGAGGAUGGGCCCGCGGCCUAUCAGCCUGUUGGUGGGGUGAGGCCUACCAAGGCGACGACGGGUAGCCGGCCUGAGAGGGCGACCGGCCACACUGGGACUGAGACACGGCCCAGACUCCUACGGGAGGCAGCAGUGGGGAAUCUUGCGCAAUGGGCGAAAGCCUGACGCAGCGACGCCGCGUGAGGGAUGACGGCCU